rnacentral:rRNA from 1 species
UACGUAGGGGGCAAGCGUUGUCCGGAUUUAUUGGGCGUAAAGAGCGUGUAGGCGGCCAUGUAGGUCCGUUGUGAAAACUCGAGGCUCAACCUCGAGACGCCGAUGGAAACCAUGUGGCUAGAGUCCGGAAGAGGAGACUGGAAUUCCUGGUGUAGCGGUGAAAUGCGCAGAUAUCAGGAGGAACACCGGUGGCGAAGGCGGGUCUCUGGGCCGAUACUGACGCUGAGGAGCGAAAGCGUGGGGAGCGAACAGG